CCUACGGGUGGCUGCAGUGGGGAAUAUUGGACAAUGGGCGAAAGCCUGAUCCAGCCAUGCCGCGUGUGUGAAGAAGGCCUUCGGGUUGUAAAGCACUUUCAGUGGGGAAGAAAGCCUUGGGGCUAAUACCCUCGAGGAAGGACAUCACCCACAGAAGAAGCACCGGCUAACUCCGUGCCAGCAGCCGCGGUAAUACGGAGGGUGCGAGCGUUAAUCGGAAUUACUGGGCGUAAAGCGCGCGUAGGCGGUCUGAUAAGCCGGUUGUGAAAGCCCCGGGCUCAACCUGGGAACGGCAUCCGGAACUGUCAGUCUAGAGUGCAGGAGAGGAAGGUAGAAUUCCCGGUGUAGCGGUGAAAUGCGUAGAGAUCGGGAGGAAUACCAGUGGCGAAGGCGGCCUUCUGGACUGACACUGACGCUGAGGUGCGAAAGCGUGGGUAGCAAACAGGAUUAGAUACCCCAGUAGUC
rnacentral:rRNA from 1 species